GUAGUUUUAAAUAAAAUAAACACUCUCUUAUUGUAUUUCCUUAUAUUUAUAUUGCUUACGUAACUAGUGACAUAAUAUUAGCAUUAAAAGUAAGCUUAUUUAUUUUACACAACUUUCCAAUAGGUAAAUCUAUUUAUUUUUAUUCUGUGUAUAAAUUAGUUUAUGAUGGGCAAACCACCUAGAUAGAUAAAAAAUAGUUGUUACGAUCUACUUUCAUCUAGAAAUCCAUUUUUAUUUAAUUAUUAUAAUUAUUUAUUUAUUAUACGGAAAAUUAUUUCAAGGAAUAUAAGAUUCGUAUAUAUCUAAUUGACAACUAGACGCUAUUAUACACGUGGAUCUUUUGACAGAUUUUCAAAAUAAUGUAUUACAAUAAAAUGUCUAUUUACAAUUGUUUCUGAGACACCCUUUCCACGCAUUUAAUUAUAAAUUUUAGUCUCGCAUUAACUGUGCAUGUCACAUCAAUGCCUAUUUUGUUUAAUUUUAGUUUCAAUGAAAUAUAAAUUAAUAUUAACCGAAUCAACAGGAAAUAUGGAUCAAAUUAUUUGGACAGGGAUCACUAUUUUUAUUUUAUUGUAUAAACGUUUUCUCUUCAUUUGAUUACUAAUCAGUAUAACUAACAACCUUAUUAAUUACGUAAAAAAGUCCAAAUUCAAUUGUUAUUGUUCAUUAUCGUAUAAAAAUCUGUUGCAUAAUAAUAUCAGCUUUAUUAUACAAGUGAUACCUGGCCAAAUAUUAUGUUAGCAUGUCAGUUUAAUUUAACAUUCAAUAAUUUUAAAUGGUAAUAUGUAGUAAUCAAUGCAGAGAUCAAUAUAUCUUUGUCAAAUUUGAUUUAAAAUUGAUAUGUAUUUCUAGGGCAGAUAAAAAAAAAUACAAUACAGUAUUGCAGCGGGGAUAUAUCUUUCACGAAUAGAACAUAGUAAUUAAUAUAAAAAUCACACAAAUCAAUUAUCACGUAAUAUAUUACAAAAAAAAAUUACACACCAAAUAAAUAAUAAUAAGAUGAUUUCUAAACAUGCACUCGAUUAAAUUUUCAAGCGAUUAAAGCAGUAUCCUAUGUGAGCGAUACGAUGCCGAAGCAAGCGACGUAUCAAUCGCACAGUGCGAAAGAUACAACUCUACCACAGUAAAAUAUGACAGUAAUUGGACGUUUUGUUAGGCAAAAAGGUCCAAUACUCACAGAGUUGUUUUUGAUACUCAACUUUAAUCUAAAACUAACUCUUGUAAUUUGAAUCCUUUUCACGUAACAACGUCCAAUUAGUAACAGAAAUAAUAACUUGAAAAAGGUAACAUUAUUUUCAAGCUAUUUUCGAAUAACGUUGUAGAAGGUCUUGGAGUAGUAAUGUUAUUUUCACGUAACAUUAUUCACGAAUAAUGUUGUAAAAGAACUUGCAGGAAAAUGAAAUUGUAUGUGACUUUUGUUUCGCAGAGGUUCGCAUGUCUGCAGGGUCAAUAAUUUCUUUCUUGACCCUGUAGACAUGCAGACUAAUUGAGAAGAAAGAUAGGUUCGAGACGCAAAUUGGAAAAAGACAAAAAUUGCGUAGAUAUACAGCUUAGUCUAGGAUGUUAAUGUAACUUUCACUUACCAUUGUGCCGAUGCUGGGGAUGCCUUGGGGCACCCCGUUCAGUAUUCCACAAUUUUCUAAAACACCGUUGCUUUCAAUAAAAAAUAUAUUAUUUCAAAAUACAGGUCUUAUAAGCUUUAAAAUAAACUCUAUGCAGCUUUUGGUCGUGAGUUUCUCGUGAAGGCAUAACUCUAUCCAUUGAUGAAUUCGCACCGCACCGAAUUAUGUGUGAAAAAUAUACUUUAUUUGAUUCGAUGUGACAGCUUUUGGUGUUGCUGGAACUUUUGAACACCACCUAACACCAAAAGUUCCACCGCCACCGGGAGUCCAGAAUAAGUCCGCGGCAUUGACACAAUGUGGUAAGUGACGAUCACAUUCGUUUAACUUCCUAGCAUAAUCUAUCCAUCUACGCAACACAAAAAGCUAGGUUAGAUAGUUAUAUUUGGAAACGGUAAACGUAUAUAUUACGUUUGGAUGUAUCGCUACCAAUAUCGUUAAUGUUACCGGAAACGGUAUCAAUAUCAGUAUUAUUAAUACCGGUAAAUAACGUUAUUUUUAUGUCACGCAUUAACAAACGAAACCUUAGAACAAUUCUAUCACCAUUGAGACAAAUAGUUUAAAUAUUUAUACAUAAUACCAAUUCAUUAUAGUUCACGUGAAAUAAUAACUCAAACGCCACUUUUUUCAUCCCUUUUGUACUUUAAGCAACAAAAAACCAUUCAGAAUCAAAAUUGACUUGCACGAGAACAGUUAAAUUGAUUUGGUUAAAUGUAACGCUAUCACUUUUAGGCAAGGGCAUAAUGCAUUUGCCAAUCGUUCCUAGGUCAUUUCUCUACGUUCUUAGUCCGCCAUUACAAUUAUUAACACUACUAUCGACUUACGGCCAAAAUUAAAAUCAAUCUAUCUGUUAUCUGUCGAUAAGUUACUUAGCAAUGUUGUUAUUCGUCAAAAGUCUUUUUGACAAAUGACAGCGUUGCUAAGUAACUUAUCGACAAGUUAAAGAUAAAUUGAGCAUUAAUUUUGACCUUUAGACCCCAUUACACACGGUCGAUAGUCGCCUCGAUUGACGGCGACCGUUAGAAUCUGUAAUUUAUAUGGCAGUCGCCGUUUACAUGCGCACGAAGUUGCGGCGACUGCGUAGUAGUCGACCGUGCGUUGUAGAGGUGGGUGAACGAUUUGUUCAAGUAUUUUGUACCUAUUGUACUAAAGUAAAUUCAAACAUAUAAAAAAAAAAACAGGCGGGUCACCUGAUUAUACCGCUGCCCAUGAAAAUUUGGAGUACCAGAGGAUCCGCCAAUGCGUUGCCGGCCAAUAUACACUAAUGUGUACAAUAAUGUACACAAUGGGUGGGUACAUCUCUUACAGCACCACAGUCCCAUGCAACAAGGUCAAAAUAUCGAUAAUUCAAAACUAUCAUAUUAAUCUUGGUACGUACCCGUCAUUGGGUAUAAAUUGCCCUUUAUUUCUUGAGGAAUGCCUUCCUUUCGGAAGGAAACGUUGUAAAAAGAACAGCACUAUUUUAGGAUAUCUCAAAUGACCAGUUUUAUUCCUUGAUUUCUAAAAAUAGUGCCUUUCUUUUCGACAAGAAACAUUGUAAAACAGACAGACAGACAGACAUGACGAAUCUAUAAGGGUUCCGUUUUUUGCCAUUUGGCUACGGAACCCUAAAAAGACAGUAAGUACUAUUUUAUGACUUCUCAAUUUGUUUUAACGACCAAUUCUUAGGGUUCCGUACCCGAAGGAUACCAACGGGGUCCUAAGCCUCCGCUGUCCGUCCGUCUGUCAGUUAGCGGUCUGUAUCUCGUGAACCGCAAUAGCUAGUGGAAAUGUCCACAGUAUGUGUUUUCUAUUGCCAUCAAUGGACGUGUCUUCGUGGAAGUGAAAUCAAAAUGGACGCAAUGGAAAUAAAAAAAAAAGGUAUGUCCGCACUGCGAAACAUCACCGCGCGAUUUCACACGAGAAUUCUGUGACAUAAAUGUAAAUUGAGUGCGCACGGCUUUGUACAAUUUCCAUUUCAGAGGGAAAAAUCGUGCGGCGAAAUCAGUGCAAGCUUACCUAAGUAAGCUUACCUAAGUAGCUAAGUAUUUUUAUUUCAUAGUUUCAAUCAAUCCAGUUCUUCAUAGGGAUCAAAAGAGUCUAUGGGACCAAUACUAGGGUUGAA